rnacentral:rRNA from 1 species
GACGAACGCUGGCGGCGUGCUUAACACAUGCAAGUCGAACGGAAAGGCCCUGCUUUUGUGGGGUGCUCGAGUGGCGAACGGGUGAGUAACACGUGAGUAACCUGCCCUUGACUUUGGGAUAACUUCAGGAAACUGGGGCUAAUACCGGAUAGGAGCUCCUGCUGCAUGGUGGGGGUUGGAAAGUUUCGGCGGUUGGGGAUGGACUCGCGGCUUAUCAGCUGGUUGGUGGGGUAGUGGCUUACCAAGGCUUUGACGGGUAGCCGGCCUGAGAGGGUGACCGGCCACAUUGGGACUGGGGUACGGGCCAGACUGCAACGGGAGGCAGCGGUGGGGAAUAUUGCACAAUGGGCGGAAGCCUGAUGCAGCGACGCCGCGUGCGGGAUGACGGCCUUCGGGGUGUAAACCGCUUUCGCCUGUGACGAAGCGUGAGUGACGGUAAUGGGUAAAGAAGCACCGGCUAACUACGUG